ensembl:lncRNA
CUCCCUUCGGCUGAUUAGCAGAGACGGAGAUUUACUGCUAAUUACCCGCGCCGCAGUUGUGCUCGCAGGCCUGGGCAUGGAGGGGGGGGGGCACGGCGGGGUAGGGGGUGUGCGGGGUUCAGCCCCGCGCUGUCACCGCGUCCAUAGCGUGAAAUAUAACUGCGGCGGGGAACAGCACCAAAAGGUGAGUGGGUGAUGCAGGUUUGGGUGUCACCGCUGCGCCGAGGAGCCCCGUGGGUCCCCCAGCGCUCAGUGGGAGCUCUCGUGUCCCCCGGCCCCGCGGCUCCGGGCUCUCCCUCCGCCUGCAGCAUGCACAGAGCACGGCACAAGCCAUCCUGCACGCCUUCAGCACGCGCACAUGUGGGCCGAACUGUGCCCUCCAAGCAGGGGAAGCUGCUCCGGCCCCCGCCGCCCCUGCCAUCCAUGCCCGCCCAGGGUCAGCUGGCAGCCCCACUGCCAAGCACCCUCCCUCGCCCCCCAUUACCAUCACCCAUGGACAGCUGCAUCCUGCUGAGCCCUUUACACCACAGCACACCGCCUGUGGGGUGUGGGCAGCUCCCCAUGGCCCAUCACCCGCCCAGUACCACUACAGCAGGAGGAGAGGGGCGCAGGACCGGCACUGCAGGGCUCCUCUUCCUCCUGCAAUGUCAACCCACUGCUCUGCAUCCGCCAAGGCUGCCCUUGGACGAGCUGCCGGCUGCGCUGCCUGGGUUGCCAAGCCCAGGACAAGCUCUUUAGCUGGGCUCUGCCAGAACAGAUGCCUGGGCUACUGUAAUUCUUCCUAGCACGGAUUGGGAGGGGAAAAAAAAAAGCAACCUCAUUUAAGCACUGCAGAGGCUGCUGCUUCUGCAAAUCCCACCCAAGAGGGACCCCGAAAGCCGGAGCACGGAGCAGGGUGGCACAGGAAUGGCUGCGCUGGGAGGGGAGGUGAUGCACAACGGUGCACGGUGAUGCACAGCAAAACGUGGCUCCGUCGCCAGCUGGGGAGGAGAGAGCGACCCGCUGCAAGGACAAGUGGGAACCGCGCGCUCCGUGCCACCGGUGUCCUUGCAGCCGCUCGCCUGCUUCAUGUCGAUGCUCCCCACCAAACAAAGAUCCCGUUCUCAUGGCAAUGUCCUUUGCAGAACAGGCACAGAGCAACGCGCGGCGGAUUCAGCGGAGCCGUGGGGAGGAGAGAGGUGGACCCAAACAGAGCCGUUCCCUGCGCUGCUCGGGAAGGAACGGAAAUUCCCUGCCAUGAAAACAUGACGAAACCCCAAACCAAAACACAGCUCGGAACGAAACCUUCGCCCAGUUCCCCGGGGAUGCCGUGCAGGGCAGGUCCCAGGGCUGGGCGCUGCGGGGGAAGCGCUGCCACGGGGACCUCUCCGCCCACCAACACGCUUCCCCCUUCAUGCGCCUUUGGGUGACACCACCGCUUCCCAUCCCCACUUUGCACUGCCAGAUGUCAAAACCGGCGCGACGGAGCUGGGAAGGGGCUGCUUUGCAUACAGCACACCCAGAUAGACAGGGGUUCUGUCUGCUUUCCACCUAUCCUGAGCCCCUGUGCAGGGCUUGUGUGUCACGUCCCGGGGUGCCAGCACCCCCUCGGCGCACCCAGUGCUCGCAGCAGAUGCUCUGCUGCAGGAUGAAUGGCCCUCCCCGCCCCAGGCCCCGCUCUGCAGCUCCCGUUCCGGAGCCUGGAUCCGGCCACGCAGGCUGAAUAAGGCUCUGCCUUUGUCCGGCUCCCCCCGUCGCGCUUCCCCUUAUCUAGCCCGGCCGCCUUGCCAAGACCACGAGGCUGUGAGCAGGGAGAGGCGUGCGGCAUCUCCCGGGGCUGUUAACUCUUCUCUGCUCUGCGCACGUUCACCCAGCCCCAUCCCAAAGCCCUCUGGCGCGCCCCGCUCCUCCUCACCCCUGCAUCCCAACCACCCCGCUGUGCGCGGCUGCACGAACCCCUCCCAUCUCCUGGGCACCCCCGGGGGUCUGGGGGUGGGCGCGGGGCCCCGCAGCCCACGGGUGUCCCCGGGGCAGAGCACAGCCUGGCGAUCUGCUGCACUGCUGCGCGCAGCAAUUAACCUCGGGAGAGCAGCGCGGCCGCUGCCAAGAACCACAUUAGGUGUGUGUGGCAGUGUCUAGACAUGCAAGAGACCAGAGGCCUUGAUCUGGAGGAAGGCGGCUCAGUCCCUUCCCCCCCUCCCCGUCCCCCUCCCGGCCUUGGCACGGGGUUCAGCCGCCCCAGCGCCGCUUUUCCCAGCAGGGAUCGCCGGGUGCGGGGAUGCUCAGCAUGAAGCUGAGCCCUGCCCCACAUCCCAACACACCAGGGGGCUCCGGAAGCAUCACGGUGCUGUUUAGCACAGCACAGCCACGGUGCCGAGCAAUGGGUGUCCCAACACCGCACCCCCAGGGUGGGCUGUGAGCAGGGAGGGGGGAAGGCAGCGGCGAGCUGCGCCCAUCCCACCUCCCAGGCAAGAGAUGCAGCAACCGUCCCAACCAUCCCAACCAUCCCGGGGGGGCAGCAGCAAGCCCCCAGCACCAGGGAUGGAGCUAGGCAGGGCCCCAACUCGCCACCUCCCCGUAUCCAUACCCACAGUGCUCAGCCACGCCACACAGCCGGCGCUGCCCAUCCCCUGCUGGCAUGCAGUGCCGCGCUGGCGGCCUCGUGGGUGCUGCGGGGACGGGGUGGGCACUGCGGGGACGGGGUGGGCGCUCCCCCGGCACCCCCUGCUCUCACCUCCACCCCAGCCGGCUGCAGGAUGCUUCGGGAGAAGAGAUUUUCCCGACGUUAAUUAAUUAAAAUAAACAGCAAAUUAAAUACAGCAAAAUUAAAAUAGCUCCGGAAAUUAAUUUUCAACAAAACCCACCUGGAAAGGCUGGAUAUUUAAAGAAUUAAUGGAGCCCUCUGAGACCAUAAAGAACCGCCGAGCUCCCGGCAUCCGCCAGCCCCCUCCGACACCCCCAGGGAGCGCGGGGCCGUGGGGAAAUGAGGACGGGACCCCCGACCGGAGCCCGCCCCGUACCCGCACGCCUUGUCCCCACACCGCCCGGAGCCGCCGCGUGGCCCUGCUGGUGGCUGCAC